UGCCCGAUGGUGUAACGGUAGCACAGCAGACUCUGGAUCUGUUUGUCUUGGUUCAAAUCCAAGUCGGGCAGCCA
rnacentral:tRNA from 1 species